rnacentral:rRNA from 1 species
ACAUAGGGUGCAAGCGUUGUCCGGAAUUAUUGGGCGUAAAGAGCUCGUAGGUGGUUAGAUACGUCGGAUGUGAAAAUCAGGGGCUCAACCCCUGACCUGCAUUCGAUACGGUCUAGCUAGAGUGUGGUAGGGGAGACUGGAAUUCCUGGUGUAGCGGUGGAAUGCGCAGAUAUCAGGAGGAACACCGAUGGCGAAGGCAGGUCUCUGGGCCAUUACUGACACUGAGGAGCGAAAGUCUGGGGAGCGAACAGGAUUAGAUACCCUGGUAGUCCAGACCGUAAACGGUGGGCACUAGUUGUGGGAACCUUCCACGGUUUCUGCGACGCAGCUAACGCAUUAAGUGCCCCGCCUGGGGAGUACGAUCGCAAGAUUA